UUUUGUUCACUUCUUCGCUUCCUCACCCGCGUUCUCCUGUGGCUGCGCGAGAGCGAGAGAGUGUGGCGGGGAGGGAGGGAGGGAGGCGAGAGACGCGAGGCUUCCCGAGCGAUCCGGAUAAGCAGCCGGCACGAGUCCGUCGGCGCCUUGACUCGGAGAAUCUUGCGAGGAACAGGCAGAGAUCUGUCCGCAUAUUGCUGUAGCUUCAGUAUAAUCGGCGGAGGAAGAGAUAUAUCAUAAACGAGGUGGAAGGAACCGGGAGGAAGCUUGGAGAAGGGAGAAGAGCACGGCAAGCAGGCCAAAGGGUGUGGUUCGUGGCUUCUUUUUGCUUGGUUAAGUUUCUCUUCCUAUCCGGCCGGGACGCCCCGCACCCGCCGUGCUUGAGUUGAUCCUGUCGCGACGAAUCAGUCGCUGGGUCGACCAAUUCAGCAUUGCAAUAAUCAGCCAUGGCCGUAGGCACGACUGAUCCGGAGUACUGGCUCAGCUGGAGGUUCUUGCUGUGCUCGGUCUGGGUCUACUCCUGCAUGGCCAUGGCGUGCUUCUUGAUUUGGAAGUAUGAGCGGCCCAGUUCACCGAGCGGCAACGACGAUGGAGACAGAGAGGAGGCGCGGCCCCGGGUCGGGCCUGGAGUUGUGUUUCUUGAAGAUUGCUGGAAGCCGUGCGUUGAGGAGAUCCACCCUGGUUGGCUCCUGGCUUUUCGCCUUGUGGCAUUCUUCGUUCUGGCUUCACUGCUUGUGGUCGAUAUCGCCACUGAUGGAUGGAGUAUCUUCCUAUACUACACGCAGUGGACUUUCUCGCUUGUCACCUUGUAUUUUGGGCUUGGCUCGUUGCUUUCAAUUUACGGUUGCUAUCAGCAUGCUUACAAGACCGGUGGGGAUAGAUACGAUCUGAUAAGAUCUGGUGCAGAUCAUGGAACUUAUGUCAUAGCUCCAACAGGGGAAAGUGCAUAUGACCGAACAAUCAAAAGUCCUGGUUACAGUAAAACACAUGGUGACCAAGAAAUUGCUGGAUUUUGGGGUUACCUUUUCCAGAUCAUGUUUCAGACAAAUGCAGGUGCUGUGAUGAUUACGGAUAUGGUGUUCUGGUUUAUUUUGUACCCUUUUCUUGCCCAUAAUGAGUAUGAUAUGAAUUUUAUUCUGAUUGGGACACAUUCAAUCAACGUUGUCUUCAUAAUUGGUGAUGCUGCUCUAAAUAGCUUGCAUUUCCCCUGGUUUAGGAUAGCAUAUUUCCUGCUGUGGACAGGCAUUUUUGUUAAUGUUCAGUGGAUCAUCCAUGCUAACGUGUCGAUUUGGUGGCCUUACCCAUUUCUAGAUUUGACAUUCCCUGGAGCACCUGUAUGGUAAAGCUCUUUUUGAUGAAGUACUUUUGUUGUGCUAAAUAUUAUUCUUCUGUGUGCAGCUACUGCAAUAGCCAGUACGAUAUAGAAUCCAGACACUAGAUGAAAGUAGAACCGUAUUUGGUGGUGGCAUUGCUGCACUUCCCUUGUUAUGCUUUAUUCACCCUGGUCCUGAGGCUCAAACAAUUUGUGUUGGAAAGUUGGUUUCCUCUCACUUAUGUCAAGUAAACAAGAUCUCAAGAAGACAAUAGUGGUAAUCCAUUUUCCCUAUACCACAUACUGCAAGAUUGAGUGGAGAACUGCAGAUAUAUAUGACUCUGUACACCUGGGAACAUAUUACUCAGUACAUCUGGGAGUCGCAUCAUUCAGAAGUAGACUACACCUGUCUCUUGCUGGGUUUCCAUCAAGAUGAACAUGUAAAUUGCCAGAGCAUAUUCCAAAUUUUUUUAGAUCAACAGCUUCUUUAAACCAGCUGUUGUCUCUAGCAUCAUUCAUUUUCUCCUUGGAGAAAUGUGUACAGCCCAUUGUAUUAUUAUUCUCCAGCCAUUUCCUGCCUGUUGCA